rnacentral:rRNA from 1 species
GGGUCAGUAGGUUGGUCGUGCCACCGGUACGUACUGGUCUCACUGAUUCCUCCUUCCUGAAGAACCGUAAUGCCAUUAAUUUGGUGUUGCGGGGAAACAGGACUGUUACUUUGAAAAAAUCAGAGUGUUUAAAGCAAGCUGACGCUUGAAUACAUUAGCAUGGAAUAAUGAAAUAGGACGAUCGAUCCUAUUUUGUUGGUUUCUAGGAUUGACGUA